GAUGAAGAACGUAGCGAAAUGCGAUAAGUAUUGUGAAUUGCAGAAUCCAGUGAAUCAUCGAAUCUUUGAACGCACAUUGCGCCCGUCAGUAUUCUGGCGGGCAUGCCUGUUCGAGCGUCAUUACGCCCCUCAAGUCCCCUGUGGACUUGGUGUUGGGGAUCGGCGAGGCUGGUUUUCCAGCACAGCCGUCCCUUAAAUUAAUUGGCGGUCUCGCCGUGGCCCUCCUCUGCGCAGUAGUAAAACACUCGCAACAGGAGCCCGGCGCGGUCCACUGCCGUAAAACCCCCCAACUUUUUAUAGUUGACCUCGAAUCAGGUAGGACUACCCGCUGAACUUAAGCAUAUCAAUAAGCGGAGGA
rnacentral:misc_RNA from 1 species